AGCAGCCGCGGUAAUUCCAGCUCCAAUAGCGUAUAUUAAAGUUGUUGCAGUUAAAAAGCUCGUAGUUGAAUUUCGGGAUCGACGGGUCGGUCGCGCCUCUGGUGUGUACUGGCCCUGUCGGUUUCUCCCUUCUGACGAACCACGAUGUCAUUAAUUUGGUGUCGUGGGAAAUCAGGACUGUUACUUUGAAAAAAUUAGAGUGUUUAAAGCAGGCAUUCGCUUGAAUACAUUAGCAUGGAAUAAUGAAAUAGGACGUUUGAUCUUAUUUUGUUGGUUUCUAAGAUCGACGUAAUGAUUAAUAGGGAUAGUUGGGGGCAUUAGUAUUCAAUUGUCAGAGGUGAAAUUCUUGGAUUUAUUGAAGACUAACUACUGCGAAAGCAUUUGCCAAGGAUGUUUUCAUUAAUCAAGAACGAAAGUUAGGGGAUCGAAGACGAUCAGAUACCGUCGUAGUCUUAACCAUAAACUAUGCCGACUAGGGAUCGGAUGAUGUUAAUUUUUAAUGACUCAUUCGGCGCCUUAC
rnacentral:rRNA from 1 species